AAUGAACGCUGGCGGCAUGCCUAACACAUGCAAGUCGAACGAUUGCCUUCGGGUGAUAGUGGCGCACGGGUGCGUAACGCGUGGGAAUCUGCCCUUAGGUUCGGAAUAACAGCUGGAAACGGCUGCUAAUACCGGAUGAUAUCGCGAGAUCAAAGAUUUAUCGCCUGAGGAUGAGCCCGCGUUGGAUUAGGUAGUUGGUGGGGUAAAGGCCUACCAAGCCGACGAUCCAUAGCUGGUCUGAGAGGAUGAUCAGCCACACUGGGACUGAGACACGGUCCAGACUCCUACGGGAGGCAGGAGUGGGGAAUAUUGGACAGUGGGCGCAAGGCUGAUCCAGCAAUGCCGCGUGAGUGAUGAAGGCCCUAGAGUUGUAAAGCUCUUUUACCCGGGAAGAUAAUGACGGUACCGGGAGAAUAAGCCCCGGCUAACUCCGUG
rnacentral:rRNA from 1 species